CACGUAGGGCGCGAGCGUUGUCCGGAAUUAUUGGGCGUAAAGAGCUCGUAGGCGGCCUGUUGCGUCCGCUGUGAAAGCCCGGGGCUUAACCCCGGGUCGGCAGUGGAUACGGGCAGGCUAGAGGUAGGUAGGGGAGAAUGGAAUUCCCGGUGUAGCGGUGAAAUGCGCAGAUAUCGGGAGGAACACCUGUGGCGAAAGCGGCGCACUGGACCAUAACUGACGCUGAGGCGCGAAAGCUAGGGGAGCAAACAGG
rnacentral:rRNA from 1 species